CUGUAUUACACCUUCGCUAACAUGGCCAUGCUGAACCAUCUGCGCAGGCAGAGAGGUUUCCACACGUUUGUGCUGAGGCCCCACUGUGGGGAGGCUGGGCCCAUCCACCACCACUCAUCAGCCUCCGGUUCCUCCCCAGUCCACGUGUUCCUUUGUUACCAACUCCCUUGUACCCCCAUGUGAGGGGCAGCUGCCCUGAACCGUCUACAGUUGGAGGCUGCUGGAGUUGGAAGGUGCUGGGACUGUCACUAGCCCUGGAGAUGGCACCUUCUUUGGGGUUUCCAGGUCUUUGACCAGACCCAGUUCCCAGCUCGCCUCCUGUGUUAUGUUCUAGACAAGGUCUUUGCUAUGAAGAACAGUGUUUCAUAUGACCCAUUUUUCCUAGUGCAUGAGAAAUAAAAAGAUUAUUUAAUU
rnacentral:lncRNA from 1 species